AGUUUGAUCAUGGCUCAGAACGAACGCUGGCGGCAUGCCUAACACAUGCAAGUCGAACGAAGCCUUCGGGCUUAGUGGCGCACGGGUGCGUAACGCGUGGGAACCUACCAUCAGGUUCGGAAUAACAGUUAGAAAUGACUGCUAAUACCGGAUAAUGUCUUCGGACCAAAGAUUUAUCGCCUUUUGAUGGGCCCGCGUUGGAUUAGCUAGUUGGUGGGUAAAGGCCUACCAAGGCGACGAUCCAUAGCUGGUCUGAGAGGAUGAUCAGCCACACUGGGACUGAGACACGGCCCAGACUCCUACGGGAGGCAGCAGUGGGGAAUAUUGGACAAUGGGCGAAAGCCUGAUCCAGCAAUGCCGCGUGAGUGAUGAAGGCCUUAGGGUUGUAAAGCUCUUUUACCAGGGAUGAUAAUGACAGUACCUGGAGAAUAAGUUCCGGCUAACUCCGUG
rnacentral:rRNA from 1 species